CGCCGUGGUCCAGGAUACUCUCCGAACACCUUGGCCCCACCUGCCGAUUCUUCUUCCGCGGCGGCGACCUAGGCCCCCAGGCGGAGAGCUGGUUUCAGUCCCGAGCCCUGGCCAACCUGGAGGAGCUCGACAUUAAGUUCCUCCCUGCAUGACCCAAGGAGAUAUUCUCGCUGCCACCAUCCGCUCUAUCCUCCCCGGCCCUCCUGGUUGUCAAGGUCGCCUAUUGUUCUUUCCCCGACGAGAUCUCCAUGGACUUCCCACUCCUCAAGCACAUUACCUUGCUUGACGUUUCCAUCUCGGGGGACGUGUUCCACGGCUUGCUCUCUGCAUGCCGCGCCUUGGAGAGCUUUUAUAUGUCCAAUGUUCAUGCUAUGGGUUGCCUCCGUGUCAGUUCGCCGACUCUUAGGAGCAUCGGCUUCAGCAAAGAAUAUUGUGGGAACACAGAAAUCAUCAUUGAGGAUGCUCCUCUCCUUAUGAGGUUCAUUUUAUCUUAUACUUAUAAUUGUGUGGCUAUCCGGGUAGUUAGGGCGCCAAAACUCAAGAUAUUGGGCCCUUUAUUUAUCGCCAUCUCCAGGAUACUUGUCUCCCAGGGAAUAAGCCCAGACAGCUCGGCAAACUCCAUGCGCACUGUGAAGGUUUUGUCUCUCAGGUGUUCUGGACAGGAAUUGGAUGCGGUUCAUAACGUCCUGAGGUGGUUUCCCUGUCUGGAUAAACUCUAAAUCGUUUUUCAUGAACACAGAGAGGUGGAUAAGAAUAAUGAGCCUCCUUACAACGGACUACAUCCAGUUGAAUGCCUUCAGGACCAUCUUAAAACUAUGGUGUUUAAGGCAUUUGUAGGUCAUGACAACCAGGUGAACUUUGCCAGGUUCUUCGUUUUAAAUGCAUGAGUGCUAAAUAAAAUUGAAUUUUAAGGAUGGUUUAUGGACUACAACACACUAGUAGAAAACAGGGCUUCGGUCACAGGGCAGUAUUCACAUUAGUCUC